UAAGAGCCUACCAAGGCAUCGAUCGGUAGCUGGUCUGAGAGGACGAUCAACCACACAGGGAUUGAGAACGGCCCAGACUCCUACGGGGGGCAGCAAUGAAGAAUUUUCCGCAAUGGGGGCAACCCUGACGGAGCAACGCCGCGUGCAGGAGGACGCUUUUCGGGGUGUAAACUGCUUUUCUGUGGGAAGAGAAUGGACGGUACCACAGGAAGAAGCCCCGGCUAACUACGUGCCAGCAGCCGCGGUAAUACGUAGGGGGCGAGCGUUGUCCGGAGUUACUGGGCGUAAAGGGCACGCAGGCGGUCGUACGCGUUCCGGGUGACAGCGGGUGGCUUAACUGCCCGAGUGUUCGAAAGACGGUACGACUUGAGGGCUCGAGAGGGACACGGAAUUCCUGGUGGAGCGGUGAAAUU
rnacentral:rRNA from 1 species